rnacentral:rRNA from 1 species
CACGUAGGGGGCGAGCGUUGUCCGGAUUUAUUGGGCGUAAAGAGCUCGUAGGCGGCUCAGUAAGUCGGGUGUGAAAACUCCAGGCUCAACCUGGAGACGCCACCCGAUACUGCUGUGGCUAGAGUCCGGUAGGGGAGCAUGGAAUUCCUGGUGUAGCGGUGAAAUGCGCAGAUAUCAGGAGGAACACCAGUGGCGAAGGCGGCUAUCUGGACGGUUUCUGACACUAAGACUCGAAAGCGUGGGGAGCGAACAGG